rnacentral:rRNA from 1 species
CCAAUAGCGUAUAUUAAAGUUGUUGCAGUUAAAAAGCUCGUAGUUGAAUUUCGGGAUUGACACAUCGGUCGUGCCUUAAGGGGUAUGAACUGGUGUAGUCAAUUUCUCACCUUCUGGAGAACCGCGAUGCCCUUAAUUGGGUGUCGCGGGGAACCAGGACCUUUACUUUGAAAAAAUUAGAGUGUUUAAAGCAGGCAUUUUGCUUGAAUACAUUAGCAUGGAAUAAUAAAAUAGGACGGCAUGAUUCUAUUUUGUUGGUUUCUAGGAUCACCGUAAUGAUUAAUAGGGAUAGUUGGGGGCAUUAGUAUUCAAUUGUCAGAGGUGAAAUUCUUGGAUUUAUUGAAGACUAACUACUGCGAAAGCAUUUGCCAAGGAUGUUUUCAUUAAUCAAGAACGAAAGUUAGGGGAUCGAAGACGAUCAGAUACCGUCGUGGUCUUAACCAUAAACUAUGCCGACUAGGAAUCAGACGAUGUUAAUUUUUUAAUGACUCGUUUGGCACCUUACG